AAUCCAUAGGUUAAUGAGGCGAACCGGGGGAACUGAAACAUCUAAGUACCCCGAGGAAAAGAAAUCAACCGAGAUUCCCCCAGUAGCGGCGAGCGAACGGGGAGGAGCCCAGAGCCUGAAUCAGCAUGUGUGUUAGUGGAAGCGUCUGGAAAGGCGCGCGAUACAGGGUGACAGCCCCGUACACAAAAGCGCAUGUGCUGUGAGCUCGAUGAGUAGGGCGGGACACGUGGUAUCCUGUCUGAAUAUGGGGGGACCAUCCUCCAAGGCUAAAUACUCCUGACUGACCGAUAGUGAACCAGUACCGUGAGGGAAAGGCGAAAAGAACCCCGGCGAGGGGAGUGAAAAAGAACCUGAAACCGUGUACGUACAAGCAGUGGGAGCACCCUUCGGGGUGUGACUGCGUACCUUUUGUAUAAUGGGUCAGCGACUUAUAUUCUGUAGCAAGGUUAACCGUAUAGGGGAGCCGGAGGGAAACCGAGUCUUAAUUGGGCGUUAAGUUGCAGGGUAUAGACCCGAAACCCGGUGAUCUAGCCAUGGGCAGGUUGAAGGUUGGGUAACACUAACUGGAGGACCGAACCGACUAAUGUUGAAAAAUUAGCGGAUGACCUGUGGCUGGGGGUGAAAGGCCAAUCAAACCGGGAGAUAGCUGGUUCUCCCCGAAAGCUAUUUAGGUAGCGCCUCGUGAAUUCAUCUCCGGGGGUAGAGCACUGUUUCGGCUAGGGGGCCAUCCCGGCUUACCAACCCGAUGCAAACUGCGAAUACCGGAGAAUGUUAUCACGGGAGACACACGGCGGGUGCUAACGUCCGUCGUGAAGAGGGAAACAACCCAGACCGCCAGCUAAGGUCCCAAAGUCAUGGUUAAGUGGGAAACGAUGUGGGAAGGCCCAGACAGCCAGGAUGUUGGCUUAGAAGCAGCCAUCAUUUAAAGAAAGCGUAAUAGCUCACUGGUCGAGUCGGCCUGCGCGGAAGAUGUAACGGGGCUAAACCAUGCACCGAAGCUGCGGCAGCGAACGUAUCACCCAAGACAACUUUACGGAGUUGACGAUUGACGGAGCGAAGCGACGUCAAAGCGUUCAUUAAAGUCGAGUUGGCUUAGGGAUACGUUCGUUGGGUAGGGGAGCGUUCUGUAAGCCUGUGAAGGUGUGUCGUGAGGCAUGCUGGAGGUAUCAGAAGUGCGAAUGCUGACAUAAGUAACGAUAAAGCGGGUGAAAAGCCCGCUCGCCGGAAGACCAAGGGUUCCUGUCCAACGUUAAUCGGGGCAGGGUGAGUCGACCCCUAAGGCGAGGCCGAAAGGCGUAGUCGAUGGGAAACGGGUUAAUAUUCCCGUACUUGGUGUUACUGCGAAGGGGGGACGGAGAAGGCUAUGUUGGCCGGGCGACGGUUGUCCCGGUUUAAGCGUGUAGGUGUGUGUUCCAGGUAAAUCCGGUUCACUUUAACACUGAGGCGUGACGACGAGGCACUACGGUGCUGAAGCAACAAAUGCCCUGCUUCCAGGAAAAGCCUCUAAGCAUCAGGUAACAUCAAAUCGUACCCCAAACCGACACAGGUGGUCAGGUAGAGAAUACCAAGGCGCUUGAGAGAACUCGGGUGAAGGAACUAGGCAAAAUGGUGCCGUAACUUCGGGAGAAGGCACGCUGACACGUAGGUGAAGUGAUUUACUCAUGGAGCUGAAGUCAGUCGAAGAUACCAGCUGGCUGCAACUGUUUAUUAAAAACACAGCACUGUGCAAACACGAAAGUGGACGUAUACGGUGUGACGCCUGCCCGGUGCCGGAAGGUUAAUUGAUGGGGUCAGCGCAAGCGAAGCUCCUGAUCGAAGCCCCGGUAAACGGCGGCCGUAACUAUAACGGUCCUAAGGUAGCGAAAUUCCUUGUCGGGUAAGUUCCGACCUGCACGAAUGGCGUAAUGAUGGCCAGGCUGUCUCCACCCGAGACUCAGUGAAAUUGAACUCGCUGUGAAGAUGCAGUGUACCCGCGGCAAGACGGAAAGACCCCGUGAACCUUUACUAUAGCUUGACACUGAACAUUGAGCCUUGAUGUGUAGGAUAGGUGGGAGGCUUUGAAGUGUGGACGCCAGUCUGCAUGGAGCCGACCUUGAAAUACCACCCUUUAAUGUUUGAUGUUCUAACGUGGACCCGUAAUCCGGGUUGCGGACAGUGUCUGGUGGGUAGUUUGACUGGGGCGGUCUCCUCCUAAAGAGUAACGGAGGAGCACGAAGGUUGGCUAAUCCUGGUCGGACAUCAGGAGGUUAGUGCAAUGGCAUAAGCCAGCUUGACUGCGAGCGUGACGGCGCGAGCAGGUGCGAAAGCAGGUCAUAGUGAUCCGGUGGUUCUGAAUGGAAGGGCCAUCGCUCAACGGAUAAAAGGUACUCCGGGGAUAACAGGCUGAUACCGCCCAAGAGUUCAUAUCGACGGCGGUGUUUGGCACCUCGAUGUCGGCUCAUCACAUCCUGGGGCUGAAGUAGGUCCCAAGGGUAUGGCUGUUCGCCAUUUAAAGUGGUACGCGAGCUGGGUUUAGAACGUCGUGAGACAGUUCGGUCCCUAUCUGCCGUGGGCGCUGGAGAACUGAGGGGGGCUGCUCCUAGUACGAGAGGACCGGAGUGGACGCAUCACUGGUGUUCGGGUUGUCAUGCCAAUGGCACUGCCCGGUAGCUAAAUGCGGAAGAGAUAAGUGCUGAAAGCAUCUAAGCACGAAACUUGCCCCGAGAUGAGUUCUCCCUGAGACUUAGAGUCUCCUGAAGGAACGUUGAAGACGACGACGUUGAUAGGCCGGGUGUGUAAGCGCAGCGAUGCGUUGAGCUAACCGGUACUAAUGAACCGUGAGGCUUAACCUU
rnacentral:rRNA from 1 species